CUACCUUUUACCGUAUAUUUGUGUGGUUAAAACUUGCCUUUUCUUUUCCAGACUGCAUCCUCUGCCCUGACAAGUAUGGAUGUUUUGAUUGGUACAUAUUAAAAGGAGUGGAGCUUGAGUGCUAACAGAAAGCUAGGAUAUUCCAGGUGGCGAAGUUAAUGUCAUACCAGUGCAUGGAUGUUGGCAGUUUUACUUUUUUAUCAAAAGCCUGCGCCUCCAGGUGUCGUGGUUAGUGCAGACGCUGUGUGGAUACAUGAAUACGCUUUCGAAGGAAAGAACCUUGUGCAAAAUAACCAAUAAACUAAAAAUAUUUUAAA